ensembl:lncRNA
GGUGGAGCUAUGUCGUCAUCGUUUCAGAAGAAUCUCGUGUAAACACAGAAACGUGUGGUCGUGGUUUGUCCGUGAUAUCAAGGGAGCCGGGUUCAGAUGUUCUGGUUCCGACCGGCCGCGUCGUGUGGACGAGGCCUCAGUGAGCGGAUGUUCCGAAGCCAGAUGAUACAGGUCUGCUCUCGGAGGCCGGUUUGGUCCGAAUGACUACCCGUAGACCACGUGACUGUUGUUGUCACACGCCGCGCCGCUGCUGCACGCGCAUGCUGGACGCUCCGAAGCUAACGGACAAUAACACGCGCUGUGGACGGACCUGGAGCCUCGCGGAACACAGUCCACUGUGGGAGACAUGUGCUUCUCCACGGGGGACUCGGCGCUGACGCUGGCGGUGCCGCCUGUAGAAGCUAGCCUGGACGCUGUAGCUUUGCAGGCUACCGGGAGCUAACAUUAGCAGCUAUGCGGCUAACUGGAUCCGCCGGGUCCACAAACACCCGCCCGCUAAGGAACGGGUCCACGGCGUGAUACGGAGCAGAGCGUGUUGUGUUCGUGCUGGACUCCACAGAACCAGGUUGUGGGAGUGUGGAGAAAACGGCAGGAGACGCGCCGGGGGUCGGUCCAGAGGACCAGCUUUCCAGCCGGGCUCGCAGCGGAACAGCAGGAGACACGAGGAGGCGAGAAGAGGACACGAUGAGCCCGGCGGGGCUCAGGAGGACCUCUGACAUCAGGAGGCAGCAGCGGUGGCUGAAGAAAAGCAGAAGGCAGUGCACAGAUGUGACAGAAGGGGCGUCACAGCGGGGAUGUCCAGAGAGCACAGCGGAUGGAUCCGAGGUCACGCCCGUCGAGGAGGAGAGGAGGGGCCAGGAGGAGCACGGCAGAGGUCAGGAGGAGGUGCUGCCAUGGGGAGGUGAAAGCAUAGAGCAGAUGAAGCCAGGCUACUUGUGUGUGUUGUAGAGUCUGGGUCAGAGUGUGUGUUCAGUGUGGAGGUUGUGUGUGUGCGUGUGUGUGUGUGUGUGUGCGUGUGUGUGUGUGCAUGUGUCACUUGAGUGUGUGCUGGUUAGGAAGUGUGUUUGUUAGAGCUGUGUAGGCAGUAGCUGUAAUGUGUGUGUGUGUGUGAUUGUGUAGGCAACAUGUUAGUAGUCAGCACCACCACAGGUUUGUUGUUGUUGUUGAAACAUGUGUACAGUGUAGUGCCUUUACAUGUGGUGUCUGUGUGUAUUAGAAAAUGUAUGUGUGUAGGUUGUUAUGCAUACAUAUGUAUAUGUGUAUACAUGCUCAUUGACUUCAUCAGCCCCUGCUGCUCAUCUUUCCUAUUUAUGGACUGAUGAUAUAUAGAUAUCAUUACAAUAUAAUCACUGUUUCAUCUGCUGCAUGUUUGCUCUGUACUGUAUCAUGUUUGCUCCUCUCUCUCUCUCUGUCUCUCUCCCUCUCCCUCCCUCUCUCUCUCUCUCUCUGUCUCUCUCCCUCCCUCCCUCCCUCCCCUCCUCCUUCAUCCUCUCUGCCUCUCUCCCCCUUCAUCCUCUCUGACUAGCAGCAGGACUGGUUCCCCCUUAAGUUAAGUAAUAUGCGCU